GGCUAGCGCGGGGGCAGCGGGGUGGAUAAGGCGUGGUGGGCGAGGGUUGUCGCGAGGUAUUUGGGGGAAAGAGGGUGUAGGCGGCGUUGCAAGGCCGGUGUGAAAACUCGAGGCUCAACCUCGAGACGCCGGUGGAAACUGCAAAGCUAGAGUCCGGAAGAGGAGAGUGGAAUUCCUGGUGUAGCGGUGAAAUGCGCAGAUAUCAGGAAGAACACCCGUGGCGAAGGCGGCUCUCUGGGACGGUACUGACGCUGAGACGCGAAAGCGUGGGGAGCGAACAGGAUUAGAUACCGUGUAGUC
rnacentral:rRNA from 1 species